rnacentral:rRNA from 1 species
UACGGGGGGGGCAAGCGUUGUUCGGAAUUACUGGGCGUAAAGGGCUCGUAGGCGGCUAACUAAGUCGGACGUGAAAUCCCCGGGCUCAACCCGGGAACUGCGUCCGAUACUGGCAGGCUUGAAUCCGGGAGAGGGAUGUGGAAUUCCAGGUGUAGCGGUGAAAUGCGUAGAUAUCUGGAGGAACACCGGUGGCGAAGGCGGCAUCCUGGACCGGUAUUGACGCUGAUGCGCGAAAGCCAGGGGAGCAAACGGG